AAGUAGCAUAAUCAAGGUAACAAUUUAUUUAUGAAUCAUCAUUCAAGCAUAGAUCCAGCUACUCCAAGGUGUAGAGUCAUUAAUAGUAAUAAUAAAUAGCCAACACAAACACCUAUGUGUAUCUAUCUUGUCAUUUAAUGCUUGCAAAAACCUUGUAAGAUAAGUAUAGUCUUAUUAUCUCUAUAUUCCAGAUAAGGAAGUUGAAAUACAAAGAGGCAAAAUAAAGAAUAUAGAAUUAUUCAAUGAGAAUAAGUUGAAGGAAUUGAUGGAGCAUAAGUCUACUUGAAAGCACCAUUCAUUUGCUGGGAAUUUGGCUGGGACAAUUGCAAGCUCUGAGCUCUCAUCUCUGGAGGCUUCCUGCAUCAGGCAGCACUCCUGGAAGCGACAACCUUAAAGAUACUCUUUCUACUGAAUCUCUUUUAUGAGCCCAAACUUUCUCACAUAUUUUGUCAUUUCACUCUUUUGAUGUCCUCUGAGAAUGAUGGGCCUAUGGCUAUUUCCAUUUUAUGGAUGAAGCACUUGAGGUCAGACAGAAUUAUUAAGUUCACAUAAGUAUCCCCAAAGGCUUCAUAAUCUAGGCAGGGAGACAAAUGCAUUUUUAAAAAAAUGAAUAGCUGCAAUCCAACUAAUAACUAAGCCCUGUGAGUGUAUCCCAGAGCAAAGUAUUGACUCAUCCUGACAAAGCCAUGCUGUGGUAGGAGGGUGUAGAAAAAGGGUAUGGAAAAGUGCCACAGAGUAGUAUUUGCGCUGCGUUGCAAGGAAAAGGAGGUAUCCUCGCAGGUGCGGAGAGUAGGAGAGGGCAUUCAAAGCAGACCAGGAGCAAUGGUUCUGUGUACUAGUAGUAGAUAUAAGUUGGACUAUUCUGGAAAUAUGUACUGCCAAAUGUGGCAAGAGCCUUGGGUACUAGAAGGAGCUGUGAGAGUAGGGAAUGACUCAGGAUCAGAUUCUGGAGGACCUGAAAUUGCUGCUAAAGAGCUUGGAUGGUAUCCCAGAAAUGACAGGAAACUUAUCAAGCCCUGGAAGAUGGAGAGCUUUCCCCAUGUAUGGCUCAACUGCCUCCAUGAAGAUAAGGAAUAG
rnacentral:lncRNA from 1 species